CUACGGGAGGCUGCAGUGGGGAAUAUUGCACAAUGGGCGAAAGCCUGAUGCAGCAACGCCGCGUGAGUGAUGAAGGCCUUCGGGUCGUAAAACUCUGUCCUCAAGGAAGAUAAUGACGGUACUUGAGGAGGAAGCCCCGGCUAACUACGUGCCAGCAGCCGCGGUAAUACGUAGGGGGCUAGCGUUAUCCGGAUUUACUGGGCGUAAAGGGUGCGUAGGUGGUUUCUUAAGUCAGGAGUGAAAGGCUACGGCUCAACCGUAGUAAGCUCUUGAAACUGGGAAACUUGAGUGCAGGAGAGGAAAGUGGAAUUCCUAGUGUAGCGGUGAAAUGCGUAGAUAUUAGGAGGAACACCAGUAGCGAAGGCGGCUUUCUGGACUGUAACUGACACUGAGGCACGAAAGCGUGGGGAGCAAACAGGAUUAGAUACCCUGGUAGUC
rnacentral:rRNA from 1 species